rnacentral:lncRNA from 1 species
GUGCUAAUAAGAGGAAACCGGUGAAGUAAGUUUUUAAGAAAUUUCAUGUAUCUUGUCUACUGUACUUGUGCAAGUCGAACUAUUGUUGAAGCAUGUUAAUAUGUGCAAUUUAAACAAUGUUUCGCACUACACAGGAAAGCUUCAGCAAAGGUGACUGAAGUUAUUAUGAUGACUCGGGGGAGAAAGAGAAAAGAGAACAAUGACGAAGUGUGUGCUAAGAACAAAAGACCUUUCAAGUAAGUUUAUGCAUUGUCAGAAGUACAUGUUAAACCCUCUGUCAAUACCAUGUUAAUUUAUUUGAGUUUGUACAGGAAAACGGCUGGAAAGUCUAAGUAGACAGACAAAGAUGACAAGGGGGACAAAGAAAAGAUGACAAUAAAUCCACUUUUUGUUUGCCAUUAUUCUGUCGAAUUAUUGGUCACAAGUGUUAUACAUUCAGUUUUUUACUAUGGAAUUUAUCAUCAGAGUUAUAUUUGUACUAUGGAAGUUAUCAUCAGAGCUAUUGGAUGUGUGUGUCCUUGUGAACUUGUGAUUAUGUGCUAUGCUAAAUGCUAUGGGAACUAAACCUGUGAACAUGUUCUAUUUGAAUUCUGCCAAAAAUGAGCAUGGGUUCACUUUAUUUUUUUGCUGUCAAAAGUGAGCAUUGGUUCAGUUUAUUUUGUUGCUGCCAAAAAUGAGCAUCGGUUCAGUUUAUAUUGUUGCUGGCAAAAAACAGCUUGAUUCAGUUUAUUUUGUUGCUGUCAAAAGUGAGCAUGGCUUCAGAUAAUUUC